CCUUGACAUACUAAGAAUUUUCCAGAGAUGGAUUGGUGCCUUCGGGAACUUAGAUACAGGUGCUGCAUGGCUGUCGUCAGCUCGUGUCGUGAGAUGUUGGGUUAAGUCCCGCAACGAGCGCAACCUUUUCCUUAUUUGCCAGCGGGUCAUGCCGGGAACUUUAAGGAUACUGCCAGUGACAAACUGGAGGAAGGCGGGGACGACGUCAAGUCAUCAUGGCCCUUACGGCCAGGGCUACACACGUGCUACAAUGGUCGGUACAAAGGGUUGCUACCUCGCGAGAGGAUGCUAAUCUCAAAAAGCCGAUCGUAGUCCGGAUCGCAGUCUGCAACUCGACUGCGUGAAGUCGGAAUCGCUAGUAAUCGCGGAUCAGAAUGCCGCGGUGAAUACGUUCCCGGGCCUUGUACACACCGCCCGUCACACCAUGGGAGUUUGUUGCACCAGAAGUAGGUAGUCUAACCGCAAGGAGGACGCUUACCACGGUGUGGCCGAUGACUGGGGUGAAGUCGUAACAAGGUAAGCGUAGAUGA
rnacentral:rRNA from 1 species